rnacentral:lncRNA from 1 species
CUUCAGAGUCUGAAAGGUCUUCCUGGACACUGAAAUCAUCUUAUCCCUGUAAGAUGUUAGCUUGUCACAACUUGCAGAUGAUGAAGAACAGAACCGUAACAGUAGGGUUUGGCUCACACAUACUGUGGUAACAUYGCACGAUUCCACGCUACCUUAAGCACUACUUGCAGCUUUAGGCCUUGGUAGUAUGAACCUAAUGGACUUUGGAAGAGCUACAAUGGUUCACUUGGUCUCCCUUUUGCUGCAAUGUGUUCUGGUGUGUUCGGAUUUUUCUGCCAGCCUCCGUUCCCCUUAUCUCCCUUGGAU